GCAGUGCGAAACAGUAUAUAUUUUGCUUCGCGUCUCCAGUUUUUUAUCGAGCCAUUCUGACAUCUUCAGACGAGAUCUGCCGCAGUACGCCAGGAACUUACCUAAGACGGAGAGAACCAUGAAUUCCGCAGUGCUGGUUGCCUUGGCGAUAGCCGCCCUGGUGGUCAUGUCCGCCCAAGCCGCUCCCACGGAUCUGCUGGAGGACAUCGAAGCGGAGAUCCUGGAGCUUCGGGACGUGCUGCAGAAGCGCCAAGGAUGUGUUGAUACAGCUUCAGCCUAUAGGUGUAACA